rnacentral:tRNA from 1 species
GAGGGUAUAACCCAGAGGUAGAGUGAAUGCUUAGCAUGCAGAAGGUUCUGGGUUCAAUCCCCAGUACCUCG